GACGAACGCUGGCGGCGUGCCUAAUACAUGCAAGUCGAACGCUGAAGAGAGGAGCUUGCUCUUCUUGGAUGAGUUGCGAACGGGUGAGUAACGCGUAGGUAACCUGCCUUGUAGCGGGGGAUAACUAUUGGAAACGACAGCUAAUACCGCAUAACAAUGGAUGACACAUGUCAUUUAUUUGAAAGGGGCAAUUGCUCCACUACAAGAUGGACCUGCGUUGUAUUAGCUAGUAGGUGAGGUAACGGCUCACCUAGGCGACGAUACAUAGCCGACCUGAGAGGGUGGUCGGCCACCCUGGGACUGAGACCCGGCCCAGACUCCUACGGGAGGCAGCAGUAGGGGAUCUUCGGCAAUGGGGGCAAACCUGACCGAGCAACGCCGCGUGAGUGAAGAAGGUUUUCGGGUCGUAAAGCUCUGUUGUAAGUCAAGAACGAGUGUGAGAGUGGAAAGUUCACACUGUGACGGUAGCUUACCAGAAAGGGACGGCUAACUACGUG
rnacentral:rRNA from 1 species